rnacentral:rRNA from 1 species
CCUACGGGAGGCAGCAGUGAGGAAUAUUGGUCAAUGGACGCAAGUCUGAACCAGCCAUGCCGCGUGCAGGAAGACGGCUCUAUGAGUUGUAAACUUCUUUUGUACGAGGGUAAACUCAGAUACGCGUACCUGUUUGAAAGUAUCGUACGAAUAAGGAUCGGCUAACUCCGUGCCAGCAGCCGCUGUAAUACGGAGGAUGCAAGCGUUAUCCGGAUUUGUUGGGUUUAAAGGGUGCGUCGGCGGUCGGAUAAGUUAGAGGUGAAAUCCCGAGGCUCAACUUCGGAAUUUCAUCUGAUACUGUUCGGCUAGAGAGUAGUUGCGGUAGGCGGAAUGUAUGGUGUAGAGGUGAAAUGCUUAGAGAUCAUACAGAACACCGAUUGCGAAGGCAGCUUACCAAGCUACUUCUGACGUUGAGGCACGAAAGCGUGGGGAGCAAACAGGAUUAGAUACCCCAGUAGUC